GACGAACGCUGGCGGCGUGCCUAAUACAUGCAAGUAGAACGCACAGUUUAUACCGUAGCUUGCUACACCAUAGACUGUGAGUUGCGAACGGGUGAGUAACGCGUAGGUAACCUGCCUGGUAGCGGGGGAUAACUAUUGGAAACGAUAGCUAAUACCGCAUAAUAUUAAUUAUUGCAUGAUAAUUGAUUGAAAGAUGCAACUGCAUCACUACCAGAUGGACCUGCGUUGUAUUAGCUAGUAGGUGAGGUAACGGCUCACCUAGGCGACGAUACAUAGCCGACCUGAGAGGGUGAUCGGCCACACUGGGACUGAGACACGGCCCAGACUCCUACGGGAGGCAGCAGUAGGGAAUCUUCGGCAAUGGACGAAAGUCUGACCGAGCAACGCCGCGUGAGUAAAGAAGGUUUUCGGAUCGUAAAGCUCUGUUGUAAGAGAAGAACGGGUGUGAGAGUGGAAAGUUCACACUGUGACGGUAUCUUACCAGAAAGGGACGGCUAACUACGU
rnacentral:rRNA from 1 species